rnacentral:rRNA from 1 species
AGUGAACGCUGGCGGUAGGCCUAACACAUGCAAGUCGAACGGCAGCACAGUAAGCUCUUGCUCUUACGGGUGGCGAGUGGCGGACGGGUGAGGAAUACAUCGGCAUCUACUUUUUCGUGGGGGAUAACGUAGGGAAACUUACGCUACUACCUCAUACGACCUACGGGUGAAAUCAGGGGAUCUUCGGACCUUUCCCGAUUGUAUGAGCCGAUGUCGGAUUAGCUAGGUGGCGAGGUAAAGUCCCACCAAGGCGACGAUCCGUAGCGGGUCUGAGAGGAUGGGCGGACACAAUGGAACUGAGACACGGUCCAGACUCCGACGGGAGGCAGCAGUAGGGAAUCGGACGCAAGGGGCGAAAGCCUGACGGAGCAACGCCGCGUGAGUGAAGAAGGUCUUCGGAUAGUAAAACUCUGUUAUUAGGGAAGAAAAAAUGUGGAAGUAACUAGGAACGUCUUGACGGUACCUAAUCAGAAAGCAACGGCUAACUACGUG